GUGGAUUAGAUACCCGGGUAGUCCACGCCGUAAACGAUGGGUACUAGCUGUCGUGGGUAUCGACCCCUGCGGUGGCAAAGCUAACGCUCUAAGUACCCCGCCUGGGAAGUACGGCCGCAAGGCUAAAACUCAAAGGAAUUGACGGGGGCCCGCACAAGCGGUGGAGCAUGUGGUUUAAUUCGAUGCAACGCGCAGAACCUUACCUGGGCUUGACAUGUGAAGAACCCUGGUGAAAGCCGGGGGUGCCCUUCGGGGAGCUUCAACACAGGUGCUGCACGGUCGUCGACAGCU
rnacentral:rRNA from 1 species